GUACACUCCUACGGGAGGCAGCAGUGGGGAAUUUUGGACAAUGGGCGAAAGCCUGAUCCAGCAAUGCCGCGUGUGUGAAGAAGGCCUUCGGGUUGUAAAGCACUUUUGUCCGGAAAGAAAUCCUUGGCUCUAAUACAGUCGGGGGAUGACGGUACCGGAAGAAUAAGCACCGGCUAACUACGUGCCAGCAGCCGCGGUAAUACGUAGGGUGCGAGCGUUAAUCGGAAUUACUGGGCGUAAAGCGUGCGCAGGCGGUUUGCUAAGACCGAUGUGAAAUCCCCGGGCUCAACCUGGGAACUGCAUUGGUGACUGGCAGGCUAGAGUAUGGCAGAGGGGGGUAGAAUUCCACGUGUAGCAGUGAAAUGCGUAGAGAUGUGGAGGAAUACCGAUGGCGAAGGCAGCCCCCUGGGCCAAUACUGACGCUCAUGCACGAAAGCGUGGGGAGCAAACAGGAUUAGAUACCCGGGUAGUCCAU
rnacentral:rRNA from 1 species